rnacentral:rRNA from 1 species
GACGAACGCUGGCGGCGUGCUUAACACAUGCAAGUCGAACGGCAAGGCCCUGCUUUUGUGGGCUGCUCGAGUGGCGAACGGGUGAGUAACACGUGAGUAACCUGCCCUUUACUUUGGGAUAACUUCAGGAAACUGGGGCUAAUACCGGAUAGGAGCUCCUGCUGCAUGGUGGGGGUUGGAACGUUUCGGCGGUUGGGGAUGGACUCGCGGCUUAGCAGCUUGUUGGUGGGGUAGUGGCUUACCAAGGCGUUGACGGGUGGCCCGCCUGAGAGGGUGACCGGCCACACUGGGACUGACGUACGGCAGAGACUGCUAAGGGAGGAAGAAGUGGGGAAUAUUGCACCAGGGGCGGAGGGCUGAUGAAGAAACGCCGCGUGUGGGAUGCCGGUCUUCGGGGUGUAAACAGCCUUCGCCUGUGACGAAGCGUGAGUGACGGUAACGGGUAAAGAAGCAACGGCUUAAUAAGGG